AGCGGCGGAGCAUGCGGAUUAAUUCGAUGCAACGCGAAGAACCUUACCAAGGCUUGACAUGUUCUCGAUCGCCGUAGAGAUACGGUUUCCCCUUUGGGGCGGGUUCACAGGUGGUGCAUGGUUGUCGUCAGCUCGUGUCGUGAGAUGUUGGGUUAAGUCCCGCAACGAGCGCAACCCUCGUUCCAUGUUGCCAGCACGUAGUGGGGGGGACUCAUGGGAGACUGCCGGGGUCAACUCGGAGGAAGGUGAGGACGACGUCAAAUCAUCAUGCCCCUUAUGUCUUGGGCUUCACGCAUGCUACAAUGGCCGGUACAAUGGGUUGCGAUACUGUGAGGUGGAGCUAAUCCCAAAAAGCCGGUCUCAGUUCGGAUUGGGGUCUGCAACUCGACCCCAUGAAGUCGGAGUCGCUAGUAAUCGCAGAUCAGCAACGCUGCGGUGAAUACGUUCCCG
rnacentral:rRNA from 1 species